CUCAAGAUGAGAUUUCCCAAUUAGUAAGACCCCUUGAAGACGACGAGGUAGAUAGGUUGGAGGUGGAAGUGCAGUAAUGCAUGGAGCUGACCAAUACUAAUCGGUCGAGGGCUUAUCCUAU
rnacentral:rRNA from 1 species